rnacentral:misc_RNA from 1 species
UCAAACUUGGUCAUUUAGAGGAAGUAAAAGUCGUAACAAGGUUUCCGUAGGUGAACCUGCGGAAGGAUCAUUAACGAAUUAUAUAUCUCUUUUGAGAUAUUUCUUCAUUUCAAACACCUGUGAAUGAUUUUAAUUAUUUGCUUUGGCUAUUUAUUUAGCCAAAGGUUUAUAUUGAACUCUUUUUUUUUAAUAUUAUUUGUCUGAAAAUGAUUAUUUUAAUAAAUCAAAACUUUCAACAACGGAUCUCUUGGUUCUCGCAUCGAUGAAGAACGCAGC